GGAGAGUUGGCAGAGUGGUAAUGCAACGGACUCGAAAUCCGUCGAACCGGCGAAUACCCGGCGCGCAGGUUCAAUUCCUGUACUCUCCU
rnacentral:tRNA from 1 species